rnacentral:tRNA from 1 species
UAGGUUGUAGUUUUAAAAAUAAAAUUGAAGCUUUGGGUGCUUCAGAUGCCUUAAAGGUUAGCCUAG